rnacentral:rRNA from 10 species
AAAGAGCGCCCUAGUUUCCAUUUCCUCCGCGCCCGAUCUCGUCUGAUCUCGGAGGCUAAGCAUGGUCGGGCCUGGUUAGUACUUGGGGUAGAGGUGUUGGUGCGCUGUCUC